rnacentral:rRNA from 1 species
AUUGAACGCUGGCGGCAGGCCUAACACAUGCAAGUCGAACGAGUGGCGGACGGGUGAGUAAUGUCUGGGAAACUGCCCGUUGGAGGGGGAUAACUACUGGAAACGGUAGCUAAUACCGCAUACCAUCGGAUGUGCCCAGAUGGGAUUAGCUAGUAGGUGGGGUAACGUCUGACAAAGGCGACGAUCCCUAGCGGGUCUGAGAGGAUGACCAGCCACACGGGAACUGAGACACGGUCCAGACUCCUACGGGAGGCAGCAGUAGGGAAUAUUGCACAAUGGGCGAAAGCCUGAUGCAGCCAUGCCGCGUGUAUGAAGAAGGCCUUCGGGUUGUAAAGUACUGUCAGUGAGGAGGCGUUACUCACAGAGAAAGCACCGGCUAACUCCGUGCCAGCAGCCGCGGUAAUAC